GGUUAAGCGACUAAGCGUACACGGUGGAUGCCCUGGCAGUCAGAGGCGAUGAAGGGCGUGCUAAUCUGCGAUAAGCGCCGGUAAGGUGAUAUGAACCGUUAUAACCGGCGAUACCCGAAUGGGGAAACCCAGUGUGACUCGUCACACUAUCAUUAACUGAAUCCAUAGGUUAAUGAGGCGAACCGGGGGAACUGAAACAUCUAAGUACCCCGAGGAAAAGAAAUCAACCGAGAUUCCCCCAGUAGCGGCGAGCGAACGGGGAGGAGCCCAGAGCCUGAAUCAGCAUGUGUGUUAGUGGAAGCGUCUGGAAAGGCGCGCGAUACAGGGUGACAGCCCCGUACACAAAAGCGCAUGUGCUGUGAGCUCGAUGAGUAGGGCGGGACACGUGGUAUCCUGUCUGAAUAUGGGGGGACCAUCCUCCAAGGCUAAAUACUCCUGACUGACCGAUAGUGAACCAGUACCGUGAGGGAAAGGCGAAAAGAACCCCGGCGAGGGGAGUGAAAAAGAACCUGAAACCGUGUACGUACAAGCAGUGGGAGCACCCUUUGGGGUGUGACUGCGUACCUUUUGUAUAAUGGGUCAGCGACUUAUAUUCUGUAGCAAGGUUAACCGAAUAGGGGAGCCGGAGGGAAACCGAGUCUUAAUUGGGCGUUAAGUUGCAGGGUAUAGACCCGAAACCCGGUGAUCUAGCCAUGGGCAGGUUGAAGGUUGGGUAACACUAACUGGAGGACCGAACCGACUAAUGUUGAAAAAUUAGCGGAUGACCUGUGGCUGGGGGUGAAAGGCCAAUCAAACCGGGAGAUAGCUGGUUCUCCCCGAAAGCUAUUUAGGUAGCGCCUCGUGAAUUCAUCUCCGGGGGUAGAGCACUGUUUCGGCUAGGGGGCCAUCCCGGCUUACCAACCCGAUGCAAACUGCGAAUACCGGAGAAUGUUAUCACGGGAGACACACGGCGGGUGCUAACGUCCGUCGUGAAGAGGGAAACAACCCAGACCGCCAGCUAAGGUCCCAAAGUCAUGGUUAAGUGGGAAACGAUGUGGGAAGGCCCAGACAGCCAGGAUGUUGGCUUAGAAGCAGCCAUCAUUUAAAGAAAGCGUAAUAGCUCACUGGUCGAGUCGGCCUGCGCGGAAGAUGUAACGGGGCUAAACCAUGCAC
rnacentral:rRNA from 1 species